rnacentral:rRNA from 1 species
AUUGAACGCUGGCGGCAGGCCUAACACAUGCAAGUCGAACGAGUGGCGGACGGGUGAGUAAUGUCUGGGAACCUGCCUGAUGGCGGGGGAUACCUACUGGAAACGGUAGCUAAUACCGCAUACCAUCAUAUGUUCCCAUCUGGGAUUAGCUAGGAGGUGGGGUAAUGGAUCACCUAGGCGACGAUCCCUAGCGGGUCUGAGAGGAUGACCAGCCAAACUGGAACUGAGACACGGUCCAGACUCCUACGGGAGGCAGCAGUGGGGAAUAUUGCACAAUGGGCGCAAGCCUGAUGCAGCCAGGCCGCGUGUGUGAAGAAGGCCUUCGGGGUGGAAAGCACUUUCAGCGAGGAGGCGUUACUCGCAGAAGAAGCACCGGCUAACUCCGUGCCAGCAGCCGCGGUAAUAC